CAAACAUUCCGAAAAAUUAUAAAAUUUAAUUCCUAAUUCGCAUAGCUUUUUAAAUUUAUUAGUGUUGAUCGUCAAUUCAAAUAUUUCAUCAUAAAAAAUAUACACAAAUAAACAUUCUGAUUUACUUUUAAACAUAUUCCAACUCUACUCUUAACUUUUAUAAAUAAAUUAAAUCAGAUCACUCUGUCAUUAUGAAUCUAUUAAUUAAAAAAAAUUUAUCCCCAGAAAAUAUUAAUCCC
rnacentral:lncRNA from 1 species